GGGCCUGUAGUGUAGCUUGGUUUAACACAUCUGCCUGUCACGCAGAAGAUCGCCAGUUCGAAUCUGGUCGGGCCCG
rnacentral:tRNA from 1 species